CUUGAUUCAUUUGAGUUAAAUUUGUUCACCCAAUAUAAUCCUAUUUUAUCUCAUUGUCAUCAUUGUGUCUUCUGAAGGAUUAAUAUGAUCACUGUCAACAAAUGAUUGUGAUAAAUUGCUCGUUCAAGAACAAGCAACCCGUAGCCACGUUCCAUAUUCAUCAAUCCACACAAUGUCAAUGGGAGGAUAUCAUUAACUCUUU
rnacentral:lncRNA from 1 species